rnacentral:tRNA from 1 species
GCGCGGCUGGCGAAAUUGGCAAACGCACUGGGUUUAGGUCCCAGCACCGAGAGGUUUGCGGGUUCGAGUCCCGCGCCGCGCACCA